AGAAUGAACGCUAGCGAUAUGCUUAACACAUGCAAGUUGAACGUUGUUUUCGAAUCAGAAUGAGAACAAAGUAGCGAACGGGUGCGUAACACGUGGGAAUCUGCCGAACAGUUUGGGCCAAAUCCCGAAUGAAUAAAAGCUAAAAAGCGCUGUUUGAUGAGCCCACGUAGUAUUAGGUAGUUGGUUAGGUAAAAGCUGACCAAGCCUACGAUGCUUAGCUGGUCUUUUCGGAUGAUCAGCCACACUGGGACUGAGACACGGCCCAGACUCCUAAGGGAGGCAGCAGUGGGGAAUCUUGGACAAUGGGCGAAAGCCUGAUCCGGCAAUAUGGCGUGAGUGAAGAAGGGCAACGCAGCUUGUAAAGCUCUUUCAUCGAGUGUGCGAUUGUGACAAGACUCGAAUAAGAAGCCCCGGCUAACCUCCGCGCCAGCAGCCGC
rnacentral:rRNA from 1 species